rnacentral:rRNA from 1 species
UGGAGAACUGAGGGGGGCUGCUCCUAGUACGAGAGGACCGGAGUGGACGCAUCACUGGUGUUCGGGUUGUCAUGCCAAUGGCACUGCCCGGUAGCUAAAUGCGGAAGAGAUAAGUGCUGAAAGCAUCUAAGCACGAAACUUGCCCCGAGAUGAGUUCUCCCUGACCCUUUAAGGGUCCUGAAGGAACGUUGAAGACGACGACGUUGAUAGGCCGGGUGUGUAAGCGCAGCGAUGCGUUGAGCUAACCGGUACUAAUGAACCGUGAGGCUUAACCUU